rnacentral:rRNA from 1 species
AGUGAACGCUGGCGGUAGGCCUAUCACAUGCAAGUCGAACGGCAGCACAGAGGAGCUUGCUCCUUGGGUGGCGAGUGGCGGACGGGUGAGGAAUACAUCGGAAUCUACUCUGUCGUGGGGGAUAACGUAGGGAAACUUACGCUAAUACCGCAUACGACCUACGGGUGAAAGCAGGGGAUCUUCGGACCUUGCGCGAUUGAAUGAGCCGAUGUCGGAUUAGCUAGUUGGCGGGGUAAAGGCCCACCAAGGCGACGAUCCGUAGCUGGUCUGAGAGGAUGAUCAGCCACACUGGAGCUGAGACACGGUCAAGACUCCUACGGGAGGCAGCAGUGGGGAAUAUUGGACAAUGGGCGCAAGCCUGAUCCAGCCAUACCGCGUGGGUGAAGAAGGCCUUCGGGUUGUAAAGCCCUUUUGUUGGGAAAGAAAUCCAUCUGGUUAAUACCCGGGUGGGAUGACGGUACCCAAAGAAUAAGCACCGGCUAACUUCGUGCCAGCAGCCGCCGUAA